UACGUAGGGAGCAAGCGUUGUUCGGAUUUACUGGGCGUAAAGGGCGCGUAGGCGGCGCGACAAGUCACUUGUGAAAUCUCCGGGCUUAACUCGGAACGGUCAAGUGAAACUGUCAUGCUAGAGUGCAGAAGGGGCAAUCGGAAUUCUUGGUGUAGCGGUGAAAUGCGUAGAUAUCAAGAGGAACACCUGAGGUGAAGACGGGUUGCUGGGCUGACACUGACGCUGAGGCGCGAAAGCCAGGGGAGCAAACGGG
rnacentral:rRNA from 1 species